GGAUAACCUGCCCUUGGGUCCGGCAUAACCCCGGGAAACUGGGGAUAAUUCCGGAUAACGCACAUAUGCUGGAAUGCUUUAUGCGUCAAAUGGAUUCGUCUGCCCAAGGAUGGGUCUGCGGCCUAUCAGGUAGUAGUGGGUGUAAUGUACCUACUAGCCGACGACGGGUACGGGUUGUGAGAGCAAGAGCCCGGAGAUGGAUUCUGAGACAUGAAUCCAGGCCCUACGGGGCGCAGCAGGCGCGAAAACUUUACAAUGCGGGAAACCGUGAUAAGGGGACACCGAGUGCCAGCGUCAUACGCUGGCUGUCCAGGUGUGUAAAAUACACCUGUUAGCAAGGGCCGGGCAAGACCGGUGCCAGCCGCCGCGGUAACACCGGCGGCCCGAGUGGUGAUCGUGAUUAUUGGGUCUAAAGGGUCCGUAGCCGGUUUGGUCAGUCCUCCGGGAAAUCUGAUAGCUCAACUGUUAGGCUUUCGGGGGAUACUGCCAGACUUGGAACCGGGAGAGGUAAGAGGUACUACAGGGGUAGGAGUGAAAUCUUGUAAUCCCUGUGGGACCACCUGUGGCGAAGGCGUCUUACCAGAACGGGUUCGACGGUGAGGGACGAAAGCUGGGGGCACGAACCGGAUUAGAUACCCGGGUAGUCCCAGCCGUAAACGAUGCUCGCUAGGUGUCAGGCAUGGCGCGACCGUGUCUGGUGCCGCANGGGAAGCCGUGAAGCGAGCCACCUGGGAAGUACCGNCGCAAGGNUGAAACUUAA
rnacentral:rRNA from 1 species